UAACUACCCCCAUUUUUCUGCCCUUGUUGACCAUCCUCCCCUGCUCCUCCUCUUCCAGUAGUCUACUCUCAAUACAGCAGGCGAAGGGAUCCUUUUAGAAAUGUAAGUCAGAUCAUGUUGCUCCUCUGUUCAAACCCUCCAAAGUCCUUACUAUGACCUCCAAGACCCUACAUGAUCUACCAGCUGGCCACUGUUAUCUCCCUGACUGCAUUUCCUACUGUUCUUUCCCAUAUUUAUUCUACUCCAGCCACACCAUCAUAUAACUAGUACACAUAUAUUUUAUUUAUGUAUCUUGUCUCUCCGACAAGAAUAUAAGUUCCAUGAAGCUUCGAAUCAGAAUUGCAUAGAAGGUUAUUUCAGAAUUUGAGCUUCAGAAGGGCCACCAUUUAGUAACUGAUGGCUAUAUGCCUUGCCCUUGGUGGGGACAUUAUAGAACUUAUCUCACUUAAUCUUCACAGUGUUUGCCUUGUUUAAUAAUAAGGAAGUGGAGACUCAAAGGAGUAAAGUAACUUGACUUUUGGAAAGUUCACAAGUGGGCAGUUGAGAUUAGAAGUCAGAACUGACCCCAAAGUCUCUCCUGUGAAACAGUGUAAAAUAACAAUGUGGCAAUAUUUACAAUAAAUUACUAGGUCUUCUGGUCUCAAAACAAAAUCUCCCUUUAUGUCUGUAAAUAAGAAUGGAACCUUUUGAAA
rnacentral:lncRNA from 1 species